UUGUAAGGUGCCCCAGGGACAUGGGCAGGCUGAGAGUGACCAAACAGCUGAAGGGUGGAUUGAGGCCAGUGGUGCCCAGGAGGGACCUACCAUCUACUGAACAGAUGAAUUCAGAAGAGAUGGAAAGAAAAGAAGUGUGGGAGAUUCCUAGAAGGAUUUCUUUUGGGUUUCCUGUUCCUGAUCUAGUUCUUUCAGAAAUCAAUCAGCCCACUCUGCUGUGUUUCCUGCAUUCUCCAUCAUAAAGAGGUCAAGUUCAACUUCCAUAAACUUUCAUGAGAAUUUUUCCAGUGAGCGUUUCAUGCUCUACACUGCAGUGUGUUGAAUACAUUAAAUAACAUAGAUAUCUCAGAAAUACUUCUCUGUGCUGUUUAUUUCAUGAUGGAUGCCUAAAAUCCUAAGCUGGCAAAAUUCCACAUACCUUGGCAUCCCACAAGGCUUCUUUCUGUAGAAAUCAU